GACGAACGCUGGCGGCGUGCCUAAUACAUGCAAGUCGAGCGGACUUUCAAGAAGCUUGCUUUUUGAAAGUUAGCGGCGGACGGGUGAGUAACACGUGGGCAACCUGCCUGUAAGACGGGGAUAACUCCGGGAAACCGGGGCUAAUACCGGAUAAUAUCUUUCUUCGCAUGAAGGAAGGUUGAAAGGCGGCGCAAGCUGCCGCUUGCAGAUGGGCCCGCGGCGCAUUAGCUAGUUGGUGAGGUAACGGCGCACCAAGGCGACGAUGCGUAGCCGACCUGAGAGGGUGAUCGGCCACACUGGGACUUAGACACGGCCCAGACUCCUACGGGAGGCAGCAGUAGGGAAUCUUCCGCAAUGGACGAAAGUCUGACGGAGCAACGCCGCGUGAGCGAAGAAGGUCUUCGGAUCGUAAAGCUCUGUUGUCAGGGAAGAACAAGUACCGUUCGAAUAGGGCGGUGCCUUGACGGUACCUGACCAGAAAGCCACGGCUAACUACGUGCCAGCCGCCGCAGUAA
rnacentral:rRNA from 1 species